rnacentral:rRNA from 1 species
UACGAAGGGGGCUAGCGUUGCUCGGAAUCACUGGGCGUCAAGCGCACGUAGGCGGAUUGUUAAGUCAGGGGUGAAAUCCUGGAGCUCAACUCCAGAACUGCCUUUGAUACUGGCGAUCUUGAGUCCGGGAGAGGUGAGUGGAACUGCGAGUGUAGAGGUGAAAUUCGUAGAUAUUCGCAAGAACACCAGUGGCGAAGGCGGCUCACUGGCCCGGUACUGACGCUGAGGUGCGAAAGCGUGGGGAGCAAACAGG